AUACGGAGGGUGCAAGCGUUAUCCGGAAUCAUUGGGUUUAAAGGGUCCGUAGGCGGACUAAUAAGUCAGGGGUGAAAUCCCACAGCUUAACUGUGGAACUGCCUUUGAUACUGUUAGUCUUGAGUUAUAUGGAAGUAGAUAGAAUGUGUAGUGUAGCGGUGAAAUGCUUAGAGAUUACACAGAAUACCGAUUGCGAAGGCAGUCUACUACAUAUAUACUGACGCUAAUGGACGAAAGCGUGGGGAGCGAACAGAAUUAGAAACCCGAGUAGUCC
rnacentral:rRNA from 1 species